UACGAAGGGGACUAGCGUUGUUCGGAAUUACUGGGCGUAAAGCGCACGUAGGCGGAUUUGUAAGUCAGGGGUGAAAUCCCGGGGCUCAACCUCGGAACUGCCUUUGAUACUGCAAAUCUCGAGUCCGAUAGAGGUGGGUGGAAUUCCUAGUGUAGAGGUGAAAUUCGUAGAUAUUAGGAAGAACACCGGUGGCGAAGGCGGCCCACUGGAUCGGUACUGACGCUGAGGAGCGAAAGCGUGGGGAGCAAACAGG
rnacentral:rRNA from 1 species